GAGGCAGUGGACUAAUGGAAGGGAGCCUUGGCGAGCGGAGCGCAGCUGUCCCGUCAUUAGCCCCCGUGUUGGUUUCCACAGUGUGUUUGUUUGUUGAUCGGCGUGUUUUUGCACCUGCGGCGCCGACGCAGAAGGUCGUGGGAAAAAGGCCCGGCCAGAGGAAGCGGCCACGCCGAGAAACUCUCGAGGGAACGGAGGCUCUUCACCUUCGAACCCGACCCUCGUCUGGUGGCUUCAGCAGCACGGUGACGCUUUCCUCUGCGGCCACUGUGGUUUCACAGCUAAGGAGACAGAAAGGUUGGACUUGUCUUCUGCGGGGAAGACAGAGGACAGGACGGGGAAGACGAGGAGGGCAGAGAGCGCGGUGUCUGGGAUGCUUUUGAGACGCUCUGAGAUGAAAAAGGAAUGUAAGAAACAGAAAACGCAGCUACGAAAGCUUUGAUCGUCUUCGACCUUCGUCCAACGCGGGUAAAACAAAGCCAGCGCGACGUCGCGUCCAUCGGAACGGCCGAACAACGUGUGCGACGUGAACGUGGAGCCAGACGUCGCCUUUCUGCUGCUGCUUGAACCGCGAGUCUCAAAACGAAGGAAAAGGGAAGAGAGCGACGGCGGAGGAUUCACGCUGAUAUACGGAAAAUGUGCCAGAGACACUUUAAACAUGUGUGUGUGUGUGUGUGUGUGCGUGUGCGUGUGUGUGUGUGUGUGUGUGUGUGUGAUGGAUGGCCUCUCUUCCUCUGACAGAUGCUGUAGAAUCACUCAGCCAUGCCAGCCUGGCUGGUUACCGGGGGCAACCCUGUAAAUCUGACAUUACGGGCUGUUGACAGGAGAAACGGUUGUUAUCAUAACCCACAUCUGGGUGUUCCAGCAGUAAUGGUGUGUGCUGUGGGAGCAGCAGGAAUGGCCAUUACCAUCCAUGGAUCACUGGUGGGGGCCGGCACGCGGUGGACUAGGACGAGGGAAGGAGGAGCACAGGGAAGAAUCAUGGGCGCUGAAAGGAGAAGAGAUUCAUGGAUGAGGCUCCACUUCAUUUGGUUAAACCUCAGGCGUCGCAUUCGCCGUCUGACCGGAGAGUCGGAUGGACGAGGGAAGCGUUGAUGAAGGCCGGCCAUUAACAUCACGUGGUUCUCCUUUUAAAGCAACGAUAAAGAUGGACCUGAAUUAACCUGCAAACUCACGCGGUUACGAGGGAGACAUGAUGAGUCUGAAUUAACAUUUUUUGCCGAACUGCCCUGUUUGUUGGUUGAAUUUAUUAAGACUAUUGAAGGCUUGGAAGACAAAUGAAGGAAUGCUGGAGGAAGACACAGUCCAGAGUUUAUUCGGGUGUAACUAAGCGAUAAGGUAGUAACACAUUACUUAUUAAUCCCAAAAACAAUGCAAUUUGUCAUAUUCGCCGUCAAAGAAAAGCAACACGGGGAAGAGAGAAAAUCAAAAAAGCGGCAAACAAAGCAGGAGAAGCGCAGCUCGUGUGACGGGAGGCCCGUCGUGGUCGUUCGGGGGGGCGGUUGUGGUGCGCGGCGGCAGGUUGUACCGGCGCUGACCUUUCUGUUGUAACAACCCGGGAAUAAAAGGGAAGUGCCACACAAAGAGCUCUAUUAACAGAGAAACCAGAUAUAAUGGGGAAACAAGAUGGGCCUUUAAUGGGGACAGGCAGGGCUGUCAGCAUGCAUAAUGUAACAGUCGUGUUAAAACAACACUGGGGCUCCAUGUGCUCCCCCUUCACACACACACACACACACAGAAACAAGCCUCUGUGAGAGACCCAAGUUAUUAAUUCACACAUUGGUCCUCAUCUAUGGAAUAUUCUCCCAGCGCGGCGCACAUUUCUCCUGCAAGGAUGGGAAUCAUUGUUGUGUGUAAUUAUGAAGACAAUGUUGGGAGGGAUUAUCAAAGAAGUAAGGGGGGGAGAUAAGAAAGCGGCGGAUGAAGAGGGUGCGGGGACGAGAAGAAAGGGGAAGUAGAGGGGGAUAGAAGUAACAGAGGCAGGGGUGAGAAGGGAAGGGGACGAGGACGGAGAGAGGAAAGAUUACCCCCCCCCCCCGUCCCUCUCUGUUUUGCGGCGCUAUCGUUCCCUCCUCCCUCGUUCCUCCUUCCUCCGCAUUAGCAUGAUAAAGACGCGGUGGAAUAGGGCAGCCGGCAGGUCUUUGGACAUGGAGACAAUGCUAUCGCCAGAGCAGGCGUCUGCAGCGGGGGGGACAGCCACCGAGGGACGGUGCACCAACAACACACGCACACACACACACACACACACACGCAUGUGCCCACUGAUACAAACCCAUGUAGACCGACAAACAUGUAAACACACACAGAGCGGUGGAUUAUAAUGAACCCGGAGGACUUAAACAAUGAGAGGUAACGCGCAGUCAAAGGCAGCGGAGUCUCCGCACAGAGAGACGAAACGCGUAGUGUCCCUUUAAGUGGAGCGCUGGAUGUUUGGUCCCUUAAAAGAAAUGCGUUUGAAUGAAGCAGAUGUUUCCACAUGGGCGCCUUUCACAGUUAGCCAUCGACCUCAGAAGCCAUCGGCCUUCGGCCCGGCGAUGGCGAAGCGUCCGGCGAGGUGCCUGCACGUCGGGGCAACCAGGACGUCCUGUUUCUGCAAAAAUGUCCACAGGCCGACUCCGCAGCACGACAUUCUGAACCCGCGAGGAGCUCCGUCAGCGGCGGGUGAAUUUGAAUGUUGCCGUUGCGGUCGAUGGUCGUGGAAAAAGAGGCCGCUUCCGGAGUGACCGGUCAGGCGGAAAAGGAGCGACGACUGACACCAGAACGCUUCUGGUGCCGGCUGCUUUUUGGGUUGCGUACACUUUGGUGGUACAUCUUCUCUCGUAUUGAGAGGAGCUUUUUAACCCUUUCAACUGGUGAUGGGGGUCUCAGCUGGGAGACAACAAGGACUGCUGAGGGGAAGCGAGGCUCUGGGAACCAGAACCAGGAUUUCUGCAGUAAAAUUAUGGAAAUGCAGACGCUGUUUGCAGCAUUAACAGGAGACCCGGUUCACAGCAGACGUUUACACAUUUUGUGUAAGCAGGAGAAGCACAAGUGGAACUAAUGAAGCUGGCAAUGACUCGUUUCCGUUUAGGAGCCUGAAUAAGUUGCGGUGAGCCAGCGUGGCAAAUCUAAAUGGAAUGUUUGUUCAGCUCUGAGAACUCAAAACAUCUGUGGUAAGAAAAGAAAAAAAGCCACGGUAAAUGACAAUAAAACCGAUGCUACCAGGCAAAUGAAGCUUUAUCUUCAUUUUGCAUCCAUUUUGGCAAAUAAUUACGUUUAAAAUAUCAAUUUAACGUCACUUAUAUUGUAUUACCUAUAUUACAAUUAUUAUAUAUUUUGCGUGUGCUUUAGUUCAUUUUAUUUUUAUUUUUUACAUCUAUAAAAUAUAUUUGUGUUCAUCUCAAAUACCUAAUGCUUUAUUUAUUUGGCUCUAAACAGUACGAACUGUUUUCCACAAAUCCAUUCACUUUUCUGAAUACAGUUUUAAUUCACUGACCCCCAAAAAAUGGGAAUCAUCAUCCACUUAUUUUUCUUCCUCUCUGUCUUUGUCUCUCUGUGUUGUUCAUCACCAACCACAUCAAUGAGUAGCUAGUCAGUCUAAUCAGUGAGAUGCACACACACACACACACA
ensembl:lncRNA